CUCAGAAAACUGUGUCACCAUGAAGAAGACACUUGCAGAUGAAUUCUUUUAUUAGGUUCUCACCGCAACUGUGUGAUGUUGCCCAUGAAUGACAACAAGGAGGCCAAAACAUGAGGAGAAAAAAGGAAGACACAGUCGAAGGGAGGUUACACUCAGGGAGUUCCGUCUCUCCAGGGCACGCCUGUCCUGUUCUUAUCUGCAGACCUUCGCAGAGCCUGGAGCUGGGCGCCAUGAGCACCGGCUGGGUGAGCAGAGGCCGGGAAACAGCAGCAGGAACCUGACUACCUGGGGGUACCUGAGUACACACAUCUACAGCUUUGGAUCCAGAGACCAAAGUCCAAGUUGAACCUGAAGCCUAAAACGCAAUUUCUACUCCUGGUUUUACCACGGUUUUGC